rnacentral:tRNA from 1 species
GGCUCGGUAGCUUAGUUGGUAAAGCACUCGUCUAGCAUACAAGAGUCCUGGGUUCAAGUCCCAGCCGAGCAC